CAGUCGCCGCGGUAAUACGUAGGUGGCAAGCGUUGUCCGGAAUUAUUGGGCGUAAAGCGUGCGCAGGCGGUUGUGUAAGACAGGUGUGAAAUCCCCGGGCUUAACCUGGGAACUGCGCUUGUGACUGCACAGCUAGAGUAUGGCAGAGGGGGGUGGAAUUCCACGUGUAGCAGUGAAAUGCGUAGAGAUGUGGAGGAACACCGAUGGCGAAGGCAAUCCCCUGGGCCUGCACUGACGCUCAUGCACGAAAGCGUGGGGAGCAAACAGGAUUAGAUACCCCUGUAGUCCCUGUCUCUUAUAC
rnacentral:rRNA from 1 species